UCUCCUCUGAGACCACGCCCAUCCGACUGCACAAAACCGCAAGUCAGGUCCGCCGUUGUGACUAAGAGGUCCCAGCCUUGGUGCUGCGGAUGGAGAGGAGGGGGACACGCCUAAAAACUGCAGCGCGGUGAGCUAGCCAGAGACCACCGCAGACUCAGGCGCACUCACAUCAGCGCGUGCGCAGACGCGAUGCAUCAGCUCUCCCUUCAAACCCGCAUUUUCUAGAUGUAGAAGCAUGAAGAGAGAAUACUUCCCAAGGUCACACAGCGAGUUAAUGACAGGGCUCCGACUGUCUCAAGGGCG
rnacentral:lncRNA from 1 species